rnacentral:rRNA from 1 species
CACGUAGGCGGUCUGUUAUGUCGGAUGUGAAAGCCCUUGGCUUAACUGAGGAAGUGCAUCCGAAACUGGCAGGCUAGAGUACUAAAGAGGGUCGCGGAAUUCCCGGUGUAGAGGUGAAAUUCGUAGAUAUCGGGAGGAACACCGGUGGCGAAGGCGGCGACCUGGGUAGAUACUGACGCUGAGGUGCGAAAGCGUGGGGAGCAAACA